UAGGGAAUCUUCCGCAAUGGACGAAAGUCUGACGGAGCAACGCCGCGUGAGUGAUGAAGGUUUUCGGAUCGUAAAGCUCUGUUGUUAGGGAAGAACAAGUGCCGUUCAAAUAGGGCGGCACCUUGACGGUACCUAACCAGAAAGCCACGGCUAACUACGUGCCAGCAGCCGCGGUAAUACGGAGGGGGCAAGCGGUGUCCGGAAUUAUUGGGCGUAAAGGGCUCGCAGGCGGUUUCUUAAGUCUGAUGUGAAAGCCCCCGGCUCAACCGGGGAGGGUCAUUGGAAACUGGGGAACUUGAGUGCAGAAGAGGAGAGUGGAAUUCCACGUGUAGCGGUGAAAUGCGUAGAGAUGUGGAGGAACACCAGUGGCGAAGGCGACUCUCUGGUCUGUAACUGACGCUGAGGAGCGAAAGCGUGGGGAGCGAACA
rnacentral:rRNA from 1 species